rnacentral:rRNA from 1 species
UACGGAGGGUGCAAGCGUUGUCCGGAAUCACUGGGCGUAAAGGGCGCGUAGGCGGCCUGAUAAGUAGGGGGUGAAAUCCUGCGGCUUAACCGCAGGGCUGCCUUCUAAACUGUCAGGCCGGAGCACAGUAGAGGCAGGUGGAAUUCCCGGUGUAGCGGUGGAAUGCGUAGAGAUCGGGAAGAACAUCGGUGGCGAAGGCGGCCUGCUGGGCUGUUGCUGACGCUGAGGCGCGACAGCGUGGGGAGCAAACAGG